CCCCGGCCGGAAGCACAGGGACUUGGGCCCACAUUCCUGGAUGCCGCGAUUAUUACUCGGCAUCUGUACAGGGAACGUGGGUGCCUGGAACAUCUGGGCUGCCUUUGGACCAAAACGUCUGGGUCAUGUGCCCAGCCUCCCUUUUGUGACCUUCCCAAGGGGGCAGGCCAGGUCGGCAGGGAACUGGAACUAUUUUUGAGAAGGCCACUGGCAGAGGUCGCCUCAUCCACUGCCCAAGUACCCCACAUUCUCUGUUCUCUAGGCCAAGAGUUUGUGGAGCUAUUGAAAUGGGAGUAAGGGAGGAGCAAGGCCAAAGGAGAGGAGGAAGAGUACGCAAACUGGCCUGUCCAUAAUAUAAAGUUUAACUGGACACUGGUCAGAUGGAGUUCUGAGAAGCACCAAUGAAGACAUCAGUCUGUGAAGACCCUCGUCCACGUCCAAUCCUUGCUAGAUGGUCUUAUCAGUGGUCCUCCUGAUGUCUCAGCCCUCUGAGGAAAGCAUCUGGACCUGGCCUGGCCGAGGGGCACUGCAUGAGGAGCUUUUUCAGGUCACAGGCUGUCUGGGCUUUCUCCGCCUGAGUGGAUGUGUUUGCAAAGUGGAUGAGUGACCUUUCAUUCCUGGACACCCAGAGGGCCAAUCAGUCUGUUCUUGCUCCACUGAGAAAACUGAAUAAAGUGCUUGCCACUUGAAAUGAGAGUAAGGCAUAAAUAACUAUAAAAAUAAGCAAGCCCCAACCCCCUCAAAGCUCAAACACAGUUGAAGCACUUUGUGUUUUAAGGCACCCUGAGUCUGGCAGAUGAAGAAGCCUUUUCUCGUGUUUCCUCCUGCAAUGUGAAAAAUCACUUCACUGGAAAAGAUCUCUGCCAGGCCAGAAAGCCUGUGCACCCCAGCCGCAUGCUGCACCCCCGUCAUGUUCUCUUCUCUCAGAAGUGCUGGGACCAUCGUUUCCACUCGGGUGGCUGGCAGGAUGCUUAUGUAAUCAUCACCUGCCAGGAGCCACUGAUAUACACACUUGUCCUGGACAACCAUGCUACCCUGACAGACGUGAUUGUGAGGCCACAGGACAGCUUUGUCAGAAUAGAUCCUGUAGGAAACACAAACUCCAAAAUGAGAAAGACAAUGAUCUUGGAGAACUCCCAAUGGGAGAGGCUGUUCUUUGGGGGCUCUGCCACCCAGCAGUCCCCCCAAGUAAGCGCUAAUGCUGCAGCAAAGUGUAAGCAACCACUACUUUUGCAUUUAAAGGCUAGUAAGUCAGACCCUGUAUAUAUGACCAUAAUAAACAAUUUCUGUAAUUUUGGUAA